rnacentral:rRNA from 1 species
AUUGAACGCUGGCGGCAUGCUUUACACAUGCCAGUCGAACGGUAACAGGCCGCAAGGUGCUGACGAGUGGCGAACGGGUGAGUAAUGCAUCGGAACGUGCCCAGUCGUGGGGGAUAACUACUCGAAAGAGUAGCUAAUACCGCAUACGAUCUAUGGAUGAAAGCGGGGGACCGUAAGGCCUCGCACGAUUGGAGCGGCCGAUGUCAGAUUAGGUAGUUGGUGGGGUAAAGGCUCACCAAGCCAACGAUCUGUAGCUGGUCUGAGAGGACGACCAGCCACACUGGGACUGAGACACGGCCCAGACUCCUACGGGAGGCAGCAGUGGGGAAUUUUGGACAAUGGGCGCAAGCCUGAUCCAGCAAUGCCGCGUGCAGGAAGAAGGCCUUCGGGUUGUAAACUGCUUUUGUACGGAACGAAACGGCUCUGGUUAAUACCCGGGGCUAAUGACGGUACCGUAAGAAUAAGCACCGGCUAACUACGUG